UACGUAGGGUCCGAGCGUUGUCCGGAAUUACUGGGCGUAAAGAGCUCGUAGGCGGUCUGUCGCGUCGGCUGUGAAAUCCCGAGGCUCAACCUCGGGUCUGCAGUCGAUACGGGCAAACUGGAGUGUUGCAGGGGAGACUGGAAUUCCUGGUGUAGCGGUGAAAUGCGCAGAUAUCAGGAGGAACACCGGUGGCGAAGGCGGGUCUCUGGGCAACAACUGACGCUCAUGCACGAAAGCGUGGGGAGCAAACAGG
rnacentral:rRNA from 1 species